AAUAUUGCACAAUGGGCGCAAGCCUGAUGCAGCCAUGCCGCGUGUAUGAAGAAGGCCUUCGGGUUGUAAAGUACUUUCAGCAGUGAGGAAGGUGGGUAUGUUAAUAGCAUAUUCAUUUGACGUUAGCUGCAGAAGAAGCACCGGCUAACUCCGUGCCAGCAGCCGCGGUAAUACGGAGGGUGCGAGCGUUAAUCGGAAUUACUGGGCGUAAAAGCGCAUGCAGGUGGUUUGUUAAGUCAGAUGUGAAAGCCCGGGGCUCAACCUCGGAAUUGCAUUUGAAAACUGGCAAACUAGAGUACUGUAGAGGGGGUAGGAAUUUCAGGUGUAGCGGUGAAAUGCGUAGAGAUCUGAAGGAAUACCGGUGGCGAAGGCGGCCCCCUCGGACAGAUACUGACACUCAGAUGCGAAAGCGUGGGGAGCAAACAGGAUUAGAUACCCUGGUAG
rnacentral:rRNA from 1 species